UACGUAGGGGGCAAGCGUUGUCCGGAUUUAUUGGGCGUAAAGAGCGUGUAGGCGGCCAGGUAGGUCAGCUGUGAAAACUCGAGGCUUAACCUCGAGAUGUCGGCUGAAACCAUCUGGCUAGAGUCCGGAAGAGGAGAGUGGAAUUCCUGGUGUAGCGGUGGAAAUGCGCAGAUAUCAGGAAGAACACCCGUGGCGAAGGCGGUUCUCUGGGACGGUACUGACGCUGAGACGCGAAAGCGUGGGGAGCGAACAGG
rnacentral:rRNA from 1 species